AAAAAAUAAAAGAAAAAAAAAAGAGCUUGAAUUUUUUGUUCUAGGGAUUUGUAUUUGCUGCCAAACAGAUAGUGCUGAAAAAGUAGAUGGAAAUGACUGUGAUAUCAUUUUCUGAGCAUUUAUGAUGAAAUUUUACAGGCACUAGCCAGCAUUGCAGCAACACGUUCAUUUAGUUUCUAACUGGAUAUCCUGACUUCAAUAUACUGCUUAUCAUACUUAUGUAUCGUGUACUAGCUUAACUCCUUUGCUUCUUAUUAGGAAAGGGAUCAAAGAUACAAG
rnacentral:misc_RNA from 1 species